UGAGAAGCAGGUGAGUGGUUUAGAACGGAAGUAACUCGCGUCGCUUCACUCUUCAGAACUCUAUGCUUCUGAGAUUUUUUCGCCCGCAAGACGAGGUUUUUGAAGCGCUAUCCCAAAAGAAAACCGAUAUGGAGAAGGAAAUACCUGCUUGAACCGUGGAGCACCUCUGAGAUUCACUGAGAUUGGGAACGCCAGAGAAGUUCUCAUAUUUGAUGAUAGAAUACAUAAGACGUUCGGUGGAAGAGAAAUUGUUUUUGUAUUUUCUCUGUGGAUUAUUCAAUGGUUGGUUUGAAUGCGCUUCCAGGAUGCAUUGCAAAUGAAUGGGGAAUGGGGAAAACGCAAUGUGAAGUCUUUACAUAAAAUAGCAAUAUGAAAAUACGUUUCGAGAGUUGUUUUUGUUGCAUUGGAAUACUCCAUUUGGAAACAAUCUUUCGGAUUUAUAGGUCUUUCUGAGAACCGAGCGUUGAACCUGCACACACCUUUUUGAUGUCAGACAAGAUAUCUGCUGCGUUACCAUGACGAGUGAGGAGUGUCCCGUACCACCGGGCUUGUCCCAAGUAGGGGUGGGGCUCUGUGAGGACUACAGUCCGCUGCAGGCUGAUGACAUCGCUGAAAAGGCGGGGCCUGGUGACGAUGCAAGAAGUGACUUCAGCACCCUGGUGGUCCCCUUCCCAGAACUGGCGCCUGUGGUCUUCUUCUGCCUCAAACAGACCACCUGUCCACGCAGCUGGUGCAUUCGAAUGGUCUCCAGCCCAUAUCCUUAAAUGCUGAAACACACCUAACCCUAUCCUUUACUGCUGAUACAUACUUGACACAAACCCCUAAUCCCUCAGACCUAAACCAUUAUCCUAGCCCCUAACUCUGACACCUUACUCCUAGUCUAACCCUAAGACAGA